rnacentral:rRNA from 1 species
UACGGGGGGGGCAAGCGUUGUUCGGAAUUACUGGGCGUAAAGGGCUCGUAGGUGGCCAACUAAGUCAGACGUGAAAUCCCUCAGCUUAACUGGGGAACUGCGUCUGAUACUGGAUGGCUUGAGUUUGGGAGAGGGAUGCGGAAUUCCAGGUGUAGCGGUGAAAUGCGUAGAUAUCUGGAGGAACACCGGUGGCGAAGGCGGCAUCCUGGACCAACACUGACACUGAUGAGCGAAAGCCAGGGGAGAAACCGGG